rnacentral:lncRNA from 1 species
CUCAGUUACUGCUCUGCAUUCCAGGCCACAGGGGCAUGGAUCUCAUUAGGCAGCCUUACAAAGCCUAUAUGGACAGCCUUGUUAGGAAAGGGGAUGCCAUGGAACUCUUCUUGAUUUCACUUGAGCUGAAGGACUUUUUAACAAUGUAUUUUUGAGGAAUAAUUGUUUAAAAAAAAAAAAAAAGUUUUAAGAUGUAUUUGAAAGUGAGGGAAUAUGAAAGAGAGAAAGCAAGAAAGGAAGAAAGAGGAUUAACAAGUAUUCACCUUUUAUUACCAUAUGUAAUUGAUGAGCAACAAAUUUAACAACACAAGCAUUACUGAAACAGAUUCUGGGAGCACUACCACGAAUAUAAGUCACACUCAGGCCUCUUCUGAUCCUAGCACAAUUAACAAGUAGGAAAACUUCCCUUGACUUAGCAGAAAAGUGGAAGAAGGAGGCAUGGACUUCCCCACUUUUGUGGGUUGCAUAUACCAUCUCAGAAGCUAGGAAGCCUGUCCUUGUCCAUAGACUCUUUCAACAGAGUAUGAACAAUUCCUGCUGUUUUGAAAUCUUUCUCCUGCUUUUGCACCCAAAAGACCACAGCCCGGCCUGAAGCUCCUUUUUUGAGGAGAGCUGCACAAACAAAGAUAAGAACAGGCCUAAUCUUGUGCCAAAAUGAUCUGCAGCAACGAACUAGGACAUGGUUACAGCCAUAUUUAUUGGCAUUCCAGCACUAUGACUCACGUGGAAUUAGCUCUAGAAGUGGAACAAUGUGAGCUGAAGAGGUUUACAGUUGAGGGAUAAACAGACAAAGGAGAUGGAUUGAGGAUCCAACCUGCAAGAGAUCACAUUUAGGAGAGAAUUGGCAUGACAUGGAGAGAUUCCAGAAGCAAUUCACUGAAGAAAAUUACCCCAUCCAGAAGAAAUACCCUAGGAUUUGACAAGUAUCAUCAGAUGAGGACAUUUCUAGACACUGUUUUGGAGGUAGACAUUAACUACCUGAAAUGAGCCCCAAAGCUCCUGCUGUCUCAAAGCCACAAGUGCUGCUGGCUCUUUUCUUCCAUGACCAACACUUUGCUCCACUGCCUGAUGCUUUAAAUGUACUAGGGAAUGCAGGCAUGGUGCUAACAUCACAACUGCUGUUCGUGUACAGGCUCACUGCCCAGUCAAGACAUACCUAUCCUUCUCCAGGGACAACAAUCCACUGCAAACCAUCUUCAGAGAAGUAUUCUUUUCAUCUGCUUCUUUUUUCACCCUCCUAGGAUUUCAAGUAAAUCCACAGGUAUUUCACGAUGCUGGCUUCCAGAGAACACAAGUAUUUCCCCAGAUAAUUAUCCCUUGGAAACUUCUGCACUAACUCCUUUUUAAAACAAAACAGGCAGAGUGGCAAGACUAUCAAGAGAAAGAAAGAUCAGAAGUGUUACAAGCUCAACAGCAAGGAACUAACAAAAUCAUGCAGGGCAAGAAUUGAGGCUCCCAAAUAAACCACUCACCAGAGCCGUAGCUGCUUUGUCU